CUACAUUUUCCUAAGACUGGUGUUUACUUCCUGACUUUUCCAGCACUGGAAGAUCAGUCCCUGUGGAAGGGUGAGCAGCUGCAGCCCUCAGCAGCAGGCAGCGAGGCUGCAGCAGCCCAGGUGGGACACAGAGAACCCUCAAUUCUCAAUCAGGAUCACAUUUAUCCAAAAUGUCUGUAGCCUUCCUGUGAGAGAAAUCUUUCAAACCUGAGACUUCCUGGCCUGUAAAGAGUCAGUACCAAACCAUGACAGCCUGGCAGCAACUUGUGUUUUUCUGCUUCGCCAUCCUCUGUUUAUCUGGAAGAUGUUCAAAGCCGCUACUUCUCCGUCUGUGGCCUUGCUCCAGGCGUGUGGGAGGAAUCCUUCUGCAGAGGCCGGUGUCUCAGGAGAAUCCCUCACCACAAAGGUAAAUAAGGCAGC
rnacentral:lncRNA from 1 species